GCUACCUAUGGCAUCCGUAAGUGCUUCCUCUUCUUGUUGCAGUGCCAGCUGACCCUUGUGGUCAUUCAGUUCCUUUCUUGCCUGGUGCAGCUGCCACCCCUCCUGAGUACCACAGACAUCUUAUGGCUGUCCUGCUUUUGUUACCCUCUGCUCAGCAUCUCUCUAUUGGGGAAACCGCCACACAGCUCCGUCAUGUCCAUGGCGACAGGCAAAAACCUUCAGUCCAUUCCUAAGAAGACACAGCACUACUUCCUGCUCUGCUUCUUGCUCAAGUUCAGCCUCACCAUCAGCUCGUGUCUCGCCUGCUUCGGCUUCACGCUACAGAGCUUCUGUGACAGCGCCCGGGCCCGCAACCUCACCAACUGCUCCUCAG
rnacentral:lncRNA from 1 species